rnacentral:rRNA from 1 species
UACGUAGGGGGCAAGCGUUGUCCGGAUUUAUUGGGCGUAAAGAGCGUGUAGGCGGCCAGAUAGGUCAGCUGUGAAAACUCGAGGCUCAACCUCGAGAUGUCGGCUGAAACCAUCUGGCUAGAGUCCGGAAGAGGAGAAUGGAAUUCCCGGUGUAGCGGUGAAAUGCGCAGAUAUCGGGAAGAACACCCGUGGCGAAGGCGCUCUGCUAGGCCGUAACUGACACUGAGGGACGAAAGCUAGGGGAGCGAAUGGG